rnacentral:rRNA from 1 species
CCUACGGGUGGCAGCAGUGAGGAAUAUUGGUCAAUGGACGAGAGUCUGAACCAGCCAAGUAGCGUGAAGGAUGAAUGCCCUAUGGGCUGUAAACUUCUUUUAUAAAGGAAUAAAACGAGGCACGUGUGCCUUUUUGCAUGUACUUUAUGAAUAAGGAUCGGCUAACUCCGUGCCAGCAGCCGCGGUAAUACGGAGGAUCCGAGCGUUAUCCGGAUUUAUUGGGUUUAAAGGGAGCGUAGAUGGGUUGUUAAGUCAGUUGUGAAAGUUUGCGGCUCAACCGUAAAAUUGCAAUUGAUACUGGCAGUCUUGAGUACAGUUGAGGUAGGCGGAAUUCGUGGUGUAGCGGUGAAAUGCUUAGAUAUCACGAAGAACCCCGAUUGCGAAGGCAGCUGACUAAACUGUGACUGACAUUGAUGCUCGAAAGUGUGGGUAUCAAACAGGAUUAGAUACCCUUGUAGUC